GAUGAACGCUAGCUACAGGCUUAACACAUGCAAGUCGAGGGACCGGCGCACGGGUGAGUAACACGUAUCCAACCUGCCCUUUACUCGGGGCUAGCCUUUCGAAAGAAAGAUUAAUACCCGAUAUAAAGGAUGGGGAUGCGGUCCAUUAGGUUGUUGGUGAGUUAACGGCUCACCAAGCCUUCGAUGGAUAGGGGUUCUGAGAGAAAGGCCCCCAUCAUUGGAGCUGCGACAAGAGCCAAACUCCUAGGAACGGCUUCUGGGAUGAUGAUUGGGGAAUGGCCGCGAGCCUUAACCAGCCAAAUAGCGUAAAGGAUGAAGGCUUAUGGUUGGUUAUCUUCUUUUAUAAGAUAUUAUGGAUUAUAUGAAUAACGAUCGGCUAGCUUCGUGCCAGCCGCCGCGGUAAUAC
rnacentral:rRNA from 1 species